CCCGACGGAUCCCGGUACUGGCAUCCCAGACCCCCCGGCCCCCAAACGCCCACCUCUCCCCUCUGCUCGGUGCCUGCAGGGGAGCGACGCCUUGCCAGGAGGGGGAAUGCUCCCCCGGCACCCCGAGGCCUCCGCGGGUCCCCUCUUCCCACUGAGCCCCCCCCCCAAGCUGGCCAGCGACCACCCCUUCUUUCUCCCUGGUUUUGCCACAGCUGGCCACAUCCACAUCCUUCCAGAACUCUCCCUUCCUUAGCCGGUGGGACACUUCCUCCCACCGGCAAUCCAGGUGUUUUGGGGGGGAAAAGGGAGGACGGCUCACUCCCACCCCAGUCCCUGCAACACCUCUCCCCCAGGCCCUGCGCCCAGAGUCCCAGAUGCCCUCUGCCCCUGCUCCUCAGGUUAAAUUCCCUGCCCCCACAUCCUAACCCCAGCAGCAGCUGCCUCUCCUCCUGGGCGGCAGACCACAUGUCUGUCCUCUCCCCUGGGGUCACCUCAGAUCCCCGACUUCUCUUCACCAGCCCCAACGGUCCGGGGCUUAACAUCUUUGAGGUUCCCGCCCUCCUGCCACCUGCUGAGCCUCUGCCCCCAGCUGUCCGGUCUUAGCAGCCUCCCGACAGCGUCCCCACCCAGCAGCCACCAUCACCAGCACUGUCACCCCCGUGCUUUAGCCCAAGACCCCCGCCCCGGCAGUGGUCGCACCUCCAACGCCGGACACAGACCUCAAGUGUCCAGGCCCAGCCUGGCAGCCACCUGUGACUGGUGGCGCUGGAGCCCUCCCAAGGAGACUGCAGAGGGAAGAUGGCGCCACGCCAAGCCCAUCUCUCCAGAAGCUUCCAGGCUCACACCAGAGGAUGCAGACCGUCGGCUCAACCCGUCUCCACAGCCACAUCCCCGAUGCUCUGCACCGACCGACCCAGCCACCCCCGAGCGCUAACUCGCUGUAGACAAUCAGCCCGCGCUGGGCUGCGUGUACAGCUCCAGGCGCCAACGCCACCAGCCGGCCUCCCUGCCCGGGACCCGCCACCCAGAGCCCCCACCACCACUGCAGGCGAAUGACGGUGUCACCAAGGAGCCCCCGCACGCGCUGGGACCCAAAGCCGAGGGGCACCGCCGGGCGCCUCCUCCGCGGGCGGAGGUGGCACAGACUCCUCUGGGCGGGGACACCGAGCAGACCCUCCAGCGGACGGCCUGUGGGCACACGGCGACCUGGGCCUGCUCUCAGCUCAGGCCCCAUAAAUACGGGGGCUGCCAAGACGGCCGGGGAGGGGCAGGGGGCUUGGCCGAUCCCCUCGGACCCAGCCACUGCCCACGAAGCCUGGUAGCCACGUCCACAGGCACGGCCAGCCUCGGCCUGGCAUCCCAGCCCGUCGCUCCCGGGCACCUUGUGACCUGCCAUUGCCCUAACUCUGGAUGUCGGCUCCUCCCCCUGCCCGGCCCUCUCAAUGCCCCCCUCAGCCUUCCCUCCAGGAAGCCUCCCCAGGUCCCUCGGGGCCACAGCACCUGCUCAGUACCGGGACCCCCCCCCCCUCCGCCGCCAGGGCCUUCCCCAAGUCCCAACUGGCCACCCUCCCUGGCAGCAGGAGGGCCACUCCACGUGCUGCUGGGAGCCCCCACCUCCCUUCUCUUGCCCCCCUGCCCAGCACCCAGGCCAGACCUGGGUCAAUAAACAAAUGCGUACGAAGAAACUGCACAGAGACUCUUUGUCCGUGGUGGCAUCCAAGGCUGACCACGGCGGCCCCAGCGUGGCAGCUCCAGACCUCCGUGACCUGACCCCUCCCCAGAGGCAGCAGGAGGGCCAGUGGCACGCGGGUGCCACGGGGGGCGGU